UACGUAAGGGGCAAGCGUUGUCCGGAUUUAUUGGGCGUAAAGAGCGUGUAGGCGGCCUGGAAGGUCAGCUGUGAAAACUCGAGGCUCAACCUCGAGACGUCGGUUGAAACCACCUGGCUAGAGUCCGGAAGAGGAGAGUGGAAUUCCCGGUGUAGCGGUGAAAUGCGCAGAUAUCGGGAAGAACACCCGUGGCGAAGGCGGCUCUCUGGGACGGUACUGACGCUGAGACGCGAAAGCGUGGGGAGCGAACAGG
rnacentral:rRNA from 1 species